GGUACAGUAUUUCCUACAUACCAUUUGCAAGGGAUGCUGUGAAGAAAUGUUUUACAGCGUGCCUGGCCUAACAGGCAAAAAAGGCACUUUUGAAAAGUCUUGGCAAGUACAAAAGACCGAUUUCUGACCUGAUUUUGUAAAUAUUUUCUUAAUUCUGUCUUUACAGACUUGUGCCUUUUUUUUCCCUCCACAUCUUGUUGUGGGGUGUCGCUUGUUAAAAAAAAAAAAAAAAAAAAAAAGGAUGGUUGUUUUUGUUAAGCAAUGAGAUGUUCUCAAACCAAAA